rnacentral:rRNA from 1 species
AGAGUUUGAUCCUGGCUCAGAACGAACGCUGGCGGCGUGCUUAACACAUGCAAGUCGAGUGCGCGCCUGUAGCAAUACAGGUGGCGCACGGCGCACGGGUGCGUAACACGUGGGUAAUCUGCCCUCUGAUGGGGAGUAACUCGCCGAAAGGCGAGCUAAUUCCGCAUAAUAUUCCGAGAACUUUGGUUUUUGGACUGAAAGGCGUAAGUCGUCGGAGGAGGAGCCCGCGCACGAUUAGCUAGUUGGUAGGGUAAUGGCCUACCAAGGCUUUGAUCGUUAGCUGGUCUGAGAGGAUGGCCAGCCACACUGGAACUGAGACACGGUCCAGACUCCUACGGGAGGCAGCAGUGGGGAAUCUUGCACAAUGGGCGAAAGCCUGAUGCAGCGACGCCGCGUGGGGGAUGAAGCUUCUCGGAGUGUGAACCCCUUUCGAUCCGGACGAAACCCCGCAAGGGAUUGACGGUACGGAUAUAAGAAGCCCCGGCUAACUACGUGCCAGCAGCCGCGGUAAUACGUAGGGGGCCAGCGUUGUUCGGAAUUACUGGGUGUAAAGGGUUCGUAGGCGGUGCGGCAAGUUGGGAGUGAAAUCUCUGGGCUUAACCCAGAGACGGCUUCCAAAACUGCUGUGCUUGAGUGUGGGAGAGGCUCGUGGAAUUGCAGGUGUAGCGGUGAAAUGCGUAGAUAUCUGCAGGAACACCCGUGGCGAAAGCGGCGAGCUGGACCACUACUGACGCUGAAGAACGAAAGCUAGGGGAGCAAACAGGAUUAGAUACCCUAGUAGUCC